UUAACUAUUAUAUAGUACUCAGACAUCACUAAAAUUCAGAGUUUGGUCCUCUGGCAGGCACUUGCAGGCAGAGCCCGCAGUGGGAGACCACGGCCUGCCAAAGCAACAAGAGUAAAUAGACACGGGUGGGGUAUACCGGUGAGGGUAUCCUUUUGUGUAAUGAUCCUUCCGCAGGUUCACCUACGGAAA
rnacentral:misc_RNA from 1 species